GAAGAUUAUGCCAAAUCUGAUCCGUUAAACAUUUUUUGAGUUUAUCUAGGAGCAAUGACAACGGCUUUAGACAACUUUCAACGCGCCGAGAAAAUCGGCGAAGGCACAUACGGCAUUGUGUACAAAGCGUGCAACAAUCAAACUGGCCAGGACGUCGCACUCAAGAAAAUCCGCCUAGAAGGCGAAUCGGAAGGAGUUCCAUCGACUGCCAUACGGGAAAUAUCUUUAUUGAAAAACCUUAAGCACAAAAACGUAGUACAACUUUUUGAUGUUGUUAUAUCUGGCAACAAUCUAUACAUGAUAUUCGAGUACCUCAACAUGGAUCUCAAGAAACUUAUGGAUAAGAAAAAGGAUGUCUUUACACCACAGCUAAUUAAAAGCUACAUGUAUCAGAUAUUCGAUGCACUCGACUUUUGCCACACGAAUCGAAUACUGCAUCGGGAUCUCAAGCCGCAGAAUCUACUUGUUGAUACGGCAGGCAAUAUUAAGCUAGCUGAUUUCGGUUUGGCUCGUGCAUUCAAUGUGCCCAUGCGCGCCUAUACACAUGAGGUAGUAACACUUUGGUAUCGGGCGCCUGAAAUACUGCUGGGCACCAAGUUCUAUUCGACGGGCGUGGACAUCUGGAGCCUGGGCUGUAUAUUUUCCGAAAUGAUCAUGCGGCGUUCGUUGUUUCCAGGCGACAGCGAAAUCGAUCAAUUGUAUCGCAUCUUUCGCACACUAAGCACACCCGAUGAAAGCAAAUGGCCGGGUGUUACACAGCUGCCGGACUUUAAGGCAAAGUUUCCCAAAUGGGAAGCAUCCAAUGUGCCAACGGCCAUACGCGAACAUGAAGCAAACGAUCUCAUUAUGUCGAUGCUGUGCUACGAUCCAAAUCUGCGCAUAUCUGCCAAGGAUGCACUUCAACAUGCCUACUUUCACAAUGUGCAGCAUGUAAAAGAUGUGGCAUUGCCUGUGGACCCCAAUGCUGGCAACGCGUCACGGCUUACGCAGCUCGUUUGACGCCUACUUAACGCUCCACAUUAUAAUGAUCACGUUUUCUGUGAUUGUAUAAUGUCAACUUCAUUUCACAUCAACACAUACCACAGUCAGACUAACAAACACCAUCA